rnacentral:rRNA from 1 species
AUUGAACGCUGGCGGCAGGCCUAACACAUGCAAGUCGAGCGGAUGAAGGGAGCUUGCUCCUGGAUUCAGCGGCGGACGGGUGAGUAAUGCCUAGGAAUCUGCCUGGUAGUGGGGGAUAACGUCCGGAAACGGGCGCUAAUACCGCAUACAUCCUGAGGGAGAAAGUGGGGGAUCUUCGGACCUCACGCUAUCAGAUGAGCCUAGGUCGGAUUAGCUAGUUGGUGGGGUAAAGGCCUACCAAGGCGACGAUCCGUAACUGGUCUGAGAGGAUGAUCAGUCACACUGGAACUGAGACACGGUCCAGACUCCUACGGGAGGCAGCAGUGGGGAAUAUUGGACAAUGGGCGAAAGCCUGAUCCAGCCAUGCCGCGUGUGUGAAGAAGGUCUUCGGAUUGUAAAGCACUUUAAGUUGGGAGGAAGGGCUGUAAGUUAAUACCUUGCUGUUUUGACGUUACCAACAGAAUAAGCACCGGCUAACUUCGUG